GACGAACGCUGGCGGCGUGCUUAACACAUGCAAGUCGAACGGAAAGGCCCUGCUUUUGUGGGGUGCUCGAGUGGCGAACGGGUGAGUAACCCGUGAGUAACCUGCCCUUGACUUUGGGAUAACUUCAGGAAACUGGGGCUAAUACCGGAUAGGAGCUCCUGCUGCAUGGUGGGGGUUGGAAAGUUUCGGCUGUUGGGGAUGGACUCGCGGCUUAUCAGCUUGUUGGUGGGGUAGUGGCUUACCAAGGCAUUGACGGGUAGCCGGCCUGAGAGGGUGACCGGCGACAAUGGGACUGAGAUACGGCCCAGACGCCUACGGGAGGCAGCAGUGGGGAAUAUUGUACAAUGGGCGGAAGCGUGAUGCAGCAACGCCGCGUGCGGGAUGACGGCCUUCGGGUUGUAAACCGCUUUCGCCUGUGACGAAGCGUGAGUGACGGUAAUGGGAAAAGAAGCACCGGCUAACUACGUG
rnacentral:rRNA from 1 species